UAGUAUGUGAGGAUGGCAUCAUUUCACAUUAAAGUCACAACGGCAAAAGAUGAGCAUGCGUCCCAUUAGCUAGUUGGUAAGGUAACGGCUUACCAAGGCUACGAUGGGUAGGGGUCCUGAGAGGGAGAUCCCCCACACUGGUACUGAGACACGGACCAGACUCCUACGGGAGGCAGCAGUGAGGAAUAUUGGACAAUGGGCGCAAGCCUGAUCCAGCCAUGCCGCGUGCAGGAUGACGGUCCUAUGGAUUGUAAACUGCUUUUGUACAGGAAGAAACACUACUUCGUGAAGUAGCUUGACGGUACUGUAAGAAUAAGGAUCGGCUAACUCCGUG
rnacentral:rRNA from 1 species